CAAAGGCUUGGUCCUGACUUUUCUAUCAACUCUAGCUAGAUUUACACAUGCAAGUAUCCGCCCACCCGUGAGAAUGCCCUACAGUUUCCUGCCCGGAAACAAGGAGCCGGUAUCAGGCACACUAAACCCAGUUAGCCCAUGACGCCUUGCUUAGCCACACCCCCAAGGGAACUCAGCAGUGAUAAACAUUAAGCCAUGAGUGAAAACUUGACUUAGUUAAAGCUAAGAGGGCCGGUAAAACUCGUGCCAGCCACCGCGGUUAUACGAGAGGCUCAAGUUGAUAGCCCCCGGCGUAAAGAGUGGUUAAGAAAAUUCUUAAACUAAAGCCGAACACUCUCAAAACUGUUAUACGUACCCGAGAGCAAGAAGUCCCCCCACGAAAGUGGCUUUAAUCAUUCUGAACCCACGAAAGCUGGGAAACAAACUGGGAUUAGAUACCCCACUAUGCCCAGCCCUAAACUUUGAUAGGAUAAUUACACCCCCUAUCCGCCCGGGAACUACGAGCACUAGCUUAAAACCCAAAGGACUUGGCGGUGCUUUAGAUCCCCCUAGAGGAGCCUGUUCUAGAACCGAUAACCCCCGUUAAACCUCACCCUCUCUUGUUCCUCCCGCCUAUAUACCGCCGUCGUCAGCUUACCCUGUGAAGGUUUUAUAGUAAGCAAAACCAGUAAAACUCAAAACGUCAGGUCGAGGUGUAGCAUAUGAGAGGGGAAGAAAUGGGCUACAUUUUCUACCUCAGAAUAUACGGACAAUGCAAUGAAAAAGCGUUAGAAGGAGGAUUUAGUAGUAAGCAAGAAAUAGAGCGUCUUGCUGAAACCGGCCCUGAAGCGCGCACACACCGCCCGUCACUCUCCCCAAGCCAUUUUUUUCCCGUAAAUAAAAAACAAACUACGCAAAGGGGAGGCAAGUCGUAACAUGGUAAGUGUACCGGAAGGUGCACUUGGACAAAC
rnacentral:ncRNA from 1 species